UACUUGAUGUCUUAUCAUUCAUAGACUAAGCCAUGCAAACCCACGCACAAACGAGAGAUGAAACUAUCAAUAGCUCCAUAAUACGUACAUAAUGGUAUAUAGCACCAUGUCUAAGUGGGAAUAGGACAGCCUUGGGAACAUGAGGGCUAAUCCACGAGGGACCAGCAUCCCUGUCAGAUGCUUCCGAAGGCCUUACCAGGCUUGCUUAACCAGUGUACUACUUAUCAGGUAUUCCGUAGGGUAAAGGCCUACCGAGCCUAUGACGAGUAACGGGCGGUAUAUGUCGAACUGCCGGAGAAUGCGCCUUAGGAACAGAGAAUAUGUCUACGGACAGCAGCAGGCGCGCAACUUACACUCUCGAGAUCCUCAGACGUGGUAAUGACUAGUGCUCCCUCUGGGCUUACCCAAGAAGCCCGACCCUGAACCAGUGAACCAAUCGUAUCAAGUAAAGGAACAGUCUGGUGCCAGCACCCGCGGUAAUACCAGCUUUAUCAGGACCUCAAUAUAUGUUGCAGUUUCAUGCUCGAAGCCACGGAUGAAAACGUGUUAGACCCUUACAAAGGCCUAUUCACUGUGGGUAAACCAAUAUGCUUAGGAUGUCCCAACCAGAUGUUCUUCGCAUGAUGAGGUUGGGUCUUCGGACUUGACUUCUAUGACCAUAUCAGACGUUAACCAUAUGACGGGGCGAGCGGUGAAAUGUGAUGACCCUUGUUAGAUGACCAAUGGCGAAAGCAGUUGACGAUGGUAUAGGUGUCGGGCUAGGGCGAUGCUUAUGAGAAAGAACCGGAUUAGAGACCCGGGUAUCCAUAAGCGAAAAGAGAACAACUCGGACCUUCUCCCAAGGGAGGUCUAGUUGAGAAAUCGUAUGUUCUUGGUUUCCGGGGGGACUACGAUCGCAAGGGUUGAAACUUAAAGGACUUGACGGAAGCGCACACAAGGAGUGGAACCUGUGGCUCAAUUUGAAUCAACACGAGGAAACUUACUCGCACCUGGGGUGAGCUAUGACGGACUUACUAGAUGUGAUGCUGGAUGGUAUUAGUGGUGGUGCAUGGUCGUUGUUAGUGCGUGAGAUGACUCGUUUAGCCAAUCCUGGUAACGAGCGAGACUCUGGCCCAUAGGCAAGGGGAUUUCCACCUAUAAGGUGUGAUGAAAGCAGAGCAAUAACAGGUCCGUAAUGUCCUUUAGAUGCGCGAGGUUGCACGCGUGUUACAAUGUCCCUCGCAGAAGAGGGUGCAGAGAAGAAGAAGCUGUCCCAAAGAAGCAGAUGUGGUUUGGAUUGAUCCCUGGAAUGGAGAACGUGAAGAAGAGGAAUUCCUAGUAAGUCUAUGUCAAUACCGUGUUUCGAAUCUGUCCCUGCGCUUUGUACACACCGCCCGUCGCUCCUACUGAUGGGUGUAGGGAUGAGUUCCUUGGAAGCUUGCACAAGAGGUGCGAGUCAAAGGAUCUAGAAGAAGGAGAAGUCGUAACAAGGUAAGA
rnacentral:rRNA from 1 species